rnacentral:rRNA from 1 species
AUGAAUAGUAAUAGGGCUCCUGGUUCGGAUAGCAUUCCGGCCGAGUUUUACCAACAUUGCUGGGAGAUAGUAAAGAAUGACAUCAUGAGUCUGUUUCAUGCUUUUCAUGAGGGGAGGCUGGAUGUUUAUAGGUUGAACUAUGGCAUCAUUACCCUUCUUCCUAAGAUUUCUGGAGCAGAUAAGAUUCAACAAUUCAGGCCAAUAUGUCUGUUGAGAUGCCCUUAUAAACUGAUUACAAAAGUUCUAGACAAUAGAGUGGCCCUUUUCGCUGAUGUUUUGUUUAGCAAACAUCAAAAUGCCUUUACCAAAGGCAGGGACAUUAUGGAUGGGGUUCUAUCU